rnacentral:rRNA from 1 species
UGGGUGACCUGCCCUCAGCUCUGGGAUAAGCCUGGGAAACUGGGUCUAAUACUGGAUAUUCACUUCUCAUCGCAUGGUGGGUUGUGGAAAGUUUUUUCGGCUGGGGAUGGGCCCGCGGCCUAUCAGCUUGUUGGUGGGGUGAUGGCCUACCAAGGCGACGACGGGUAGCCGGCCUGAGAGGGCGUCCGGCCACACUGGGACUGAGACACGGCCCAGACCUCCGUACGGGA